rfam:Ipomoea nil DNA, scaffold: scaffold1895, cultivar: Tokyo-kokei standard.
GCCUGUCUAGCUCAGUUGGUAGAGCGCAAGGCUUUUAACCUUGUGGUCCUGGCUUCAAGCCCCAGGGUGGGCG